GACGAACGCUGGCGGCGUGCUUAACACAUGCAAGUCGAACGGAAAGGCCCUGCUUUUGUGGGGUGCUCGUGUGGCGAACGGGUGAGUAACACGUGAGUAACCUGCCCUUGACUUUGGGAUAACUUCAGGAAACUGGGGCUAAUACCGGAUAGGAGCUCCUGCUGCAUGGUGGGGGUUGGAAAGUUUCGGCGGUUGGGGAUGGACUCGCGGCUUAUCAGCUUGUUGGUGGGGUAGUGGCUUACCAAGGCUUUGACGGGUAGCCGGCCUGAGAGGGUGACCGGCCACAUUGGGACUGAGAUACGGCCCAGACUCCUACGGGAGGCAGAGGUGGGGAAUAUUGCAGAAUGGGCGGAAGCCUGAUGCAGCAACGCCGCGUGCGGGAUGACGGCCUUCGGGUUGUAAACCGCUUUCGCCUGUGACGAAGCGUGAGUGACGGUAAUGGGUAAAGAAGCACCGGCUAACUACGUG
rnacentral:rRNA from 1 species